rnacentral:misc_RNA from 1 species
AAGUCGUAACAAGGUAACCGUAGGUGAACCUGCGGUUGGAUCAUUAAAAAAAUCAAUAGCAAUCUCACCGCCCGUCUCCGGUUCGCUGGACAUGCGAAGGACCUUCCGUGGACCCACCGAGGGCGGCUGUGUUGUAGGUUAGGCUACGGGCAACCGCAAGUCUUCCGAAGCCAGUCAGCUCGGUGCAGAGCUUGAAGACGGAGCGUGGAGAUCGUUGCUAAACAUCUUGUGAACUGUUACUGUCUUUGGUGGUGGGGUGAUUUGUGUUUUCGCGCAAUCGCCUGUCAGCUUGGGUUCCAGGAUCCGAGCCGUGGACAAGCCACCGCUUGUUUUGUUCAAACCUAUUUGUAUUUUUUUGUCUGACAUUUUAUUUGUAUGAAUGUACAAACAACUUUUGGCAACGGAUCUCUUGGGUCUC